rnacentral:rRNA from 1 species
CCCUUAGAUGUUCUGGGCUGCACGCGCGCUACACUGACACUAUCAACGAGUGCUCCUGGUUUGAAAGGAUCGGGUAAUCUUUUGAAAUGGUGUCGUGAUGGGGAUAGAUCAUUGCAAUUAUUGAUCUUGAACGAGGAAUUCCUAGUAAAUGUGAGUCAUCAGCUCACGUUGAUUACGUCCCUGCCCUUUGUACACACCGCCCGUCGCUCCUACCGAUUGAGUGAACCGAUGAGUAGUCCGGAUUGCGAUCGACCUCGGUUAAUCGCGAGAAGUUCCGCAAACCACUUCACUUAGAGGAAGGAGAAGUCGUAACA